GAUGAACGCUAGCGGGAGGCCUAACACAUGCAAGCCGAGCGGUAUUUGUCCUUCGGGACAGAGAGAGCGGCGUACGGGUGCGGAACACGUGUGCAACCUGCCUUUAUCUGGGGGAUAGCCUUUCGAAAGGAAGAUUAAUACCCCAUAAUAUAUCGAAUGGCAUCAUUCGAUAUUGAAAACUCCGGUGGAUAGAGAUGGGCACGCGCAAGAUUAGAUAGUUGGUGAGGUAACGGCUCACCAAGUCAGUGAUCUUUAGGGGGCCUGAGAGGGUGAUCCCCCACACUGGUACUGAGACACGGACCAGACUCCUACGGGAGGCAGCAGUGAGGGAUAUUGGACAAUGGGUGAGAGCCUGAUCCAGCCAUCCCGCGUGAAGGACUAAGGCCCUAUGGGUUGUAAACUUCUUUUAUAAUGGGAUAAACCUACUUACGUGUAAGUAGCUGAAGGUACAGUAUGAAUAAGCACCGGCUAACUCCGUG
rnacentral:rRNA from 1 species